rnacentral:rRNA from 1 species
UCGAGCCGUUGAAACUGGCGUUCUUGAGUGGCGAGAAGUAUGCGGAAUGCGUGGUGUAGCGGUGAAAUGCAUAGAUAUCACGCAGAACUCCGAUUGCGAAGGCAGCAUACCGGCGCUCAACUGACGCUCAUGCACGAAAGUGUGGGUAUCGAACAGGAUUAGAUACCCUGGUAGUCCACACAGUAAACGAUGAAUACUAAUUGUUCGGGGAGAAUGAUCCCUGAGUGAUACAGCGAAAGCGUUAAGUAUUCCACCUGGGGAGUACGCCGGCAACGGUGAAACUCAAAGGAAUUGACGGGGGCCCGCACAAGCGGAGGAACAUGUGGUUUAAUUCGAUGAUACACGAGGAACCUUACCCGGGCUCAAACGACACAGGAAUACUUUUGAAAGGAGGUAGCUCUACGGAGUCUGUGUCGAGGUGCUGCAUGGUUGUCGUCAGCUCGUGCCGUGAGGUGUCGGCUUAAGUGCCAUAACGAGCGCAACCCCCAUCGCCAGUUACCAGCAAGUCAAGUUGGGGACUCUGGCGAGACUGCCGGCGCAAGCUGUGAGGAAGGCGGGGAUGACGUCAAAUCAGCACGGCCCUUACGUCCGGGGCGACACACGUGUUACAAUGGCAGGUACAGAGAGAAGCAAUGCGGCGACGCAAAGCGGAACUUGAAAGCCUGUCUCAGUUCGGAUUGGAGUCUGCAACUCGACUCCACGAAGCUGGAUUCGCUAGUAAUCGCGCAUCAGCCAUGGCGCGGUGAAUACGUUCCCGGGCCUUGUACACACCGCCCGUCAAGCCAUGGAAGCCGGGAGUGCCUGAAGUGUGCAACCGCAAGGAGCGCCCUAAGGUAAAACUGGUGACUGGGGCUAAGUCGUAACAAGGUAACCGUAA